rnacentral:rRNA from 1 species
CUGGCAGUCAGAGGCGAUGAAGGGCGUGCUAAUCUGCGAUAAGCGCCGGUAAGGUGAUAUGAACCGUUAUAACCGGCGAUACCCGAAUGGGGAAACCCAGUGUGACUCGUCACACUAUCAUUAACUGAAUCCAUAGGUUAAUGAGGCGAACCGGGGGAACUGAAACAUCUAAGUACCCCGAGGAAAAGAAAUCAACCGAGAUUCCCCCAGUAGCGGCGAGCGAACGGGGAGGAGCCCAGAGCCUGAAUCAGCAUGUGUG